UCCUCUCGCGCAAACUAUUGAAUCGAAAAAUAACAGACUAUGAAAUAACAAAACUAUGACAUGGUUUUUUUGUGUGUUUAAUAAAUAAUAUAGUCGUUUAGGGAUUUUCCAGAAGAAUUAUUGAGGACUAUGAAAAAUGUCUGGAGCCUCCUUUUACUUAUAGAGGUGAUAAGUAAACCAUGGAUGGUGUUCAGUCAAUCGUCACCAUGUUCAGUCACUCAAAACGCUUCUGGUCUAUGGUUCAGAAGGAGGAGAUAAGGGUGGUGCUUCACUCUGACCAAACGAAGCCUCGACGUUCGUCGACGCGAAGACGGCCUGUAGAAGAAGCUGUUCCUACGGUUCUCGUAGGCGGAGUGUGGCGAGUCUUGGGCUUUCCCGUGUGGUCUACGGGAGAGUUUCAAAGGCUUGGUGGUGAACUCGCUUUGGAGCUUGGCAUUUGCAGUACUGUUUUAUAGCAACAUCCGGUAGCUUGGCUCCUUCUUCUGAUCUAUAGGUCCCCGGCUGGUUGUGGACAGUAUCACUGCCUUGACCCGACUUUUAUAAGAUUGCAAAGCCUUAGUCUCUGGCCAGUUGGAACCAACUGAGUGGGAUUUACACCAAUAGGUGUUAUGGCGGUUGGUCAUGACAAUCUUAAGGCAUCAACUGCUCCAAGCUUCACUUGAGUCUCACUCUAGCUUGUUUUUCUUGGUGGUUUAGAGAUAGUUUUGUAAUCUUGUUUUUAUAGUGGUAGAAUUUAGGUGGUUCAAGAGACGAUUUGCUUCGAGUCGUGGAGUAAAAAGGAGCGUGGGUAGUAAUAAAAGGACUCGAACAAAAGUUAUGUUAUCAUUUUAAAAUUCACAUAAAUGUUGGAGAAUGGAUACACACCCAAUUAAAUUUCUAAAUAUGAUUGGUCAGCACGCUGCAGGAUUAUAGGAUAUGACAAUGAAAACAAAAGCGGUUAAACACAAGCAUAGACAAUGAAAACAUAGGGGUAAUGUCAAAAACAUAAGCAUAAAAUAAUAGGUCUUAGAAACAAGUCUGACAAGGAAGAGGUCGAUAAAACAGUCUCGAGACAAAAGAUAAAAAGAGAUUACAUAGAUAAAACAAAAAAAAGCAAAGACCUCCCUCCACAGCUCAGACUAACUUCCUCAAUUUAACCUGUAAAAUUGUGAAAAUCAAACAUUCUGUUUUCUGUAAGAACAGGUACUAGUUGUGUAAUAAUGGCAAUUCUCAAACUGAAUCUUAUAAUAAAAGCUUACACAUGGGUUUGCUGAUCUGAAGAAGAGACAAGUCUUUCAUUUUCCUUGACUUGCACAAAGCUUGGGCGAUAAGAGCAAACAAGUGGGGGACGAGCAGCUUUAUGGUGGUGGUGUUCGAGUAUGAGAGCUUGUCCGAGGUUGAAGGAGGAUUUGAAGAAGCCGUCUUGUCCAAACACAAAAGCGGCGUGAACAGUCCUGGAUCCGUAUAGUUCAAACAAGACAGCAAAUUUGUUUUCCUCAUCGACAAAGAAGCUCCCACCAGAAAAUGAGGAGUAGAGCUUAAAACCGUAGCCAGAGAAGGGGCCCGGUUCCAUUCGCAAAAAUUUGCUCCAGGAGGCACGGUUGGGGUGGACAGUAAGGGUAACCCAAAACUCAAAAAAGCCAGAUUCAUAACCACCAAACAGGACCGCAAGCUGCUCAUCAUCACCACCACCUCUAAAGAAGCUUGAGAGGGUUACAAGGUCACCAUUGAAACCAUCGAACGAGUCAAAAGGAAGAGGCAGGCGCGGUCCAAACCUCUCUUUGGUAAAAUCAAAACAGAUUAAGGAAACUUUGUGAGCCAGGCCAUAAUGAUUAGCAACAAAGUAGGUGUUUCCCUUGACAGACACGCCACGCUGAUGUGUAUCUAUCAACCCCUCGUGAUUAACCUCCUCAAGGACCCUCCAUGAAUUAGACCUAAUUUCAUAGAUUUCGUACACCACCUCGAUUCUCUUCAUGUUUCUAAUGAAAUUAUCCCAAAACCUCAGGAUUUUGUGGUUGCGCCCCUCGUCGUAUCCGACCGCGUGCCUGUCUGAUAGGUGGAAACUUUCUCUCGGUCCGAUCCACCUUGUUUGACACAGGUAAGGGUUCCACAACACAAGCUCCGAGUUGUCCUUAGCCACGCAUAACACCAACCCAUCGCAGUGAUAUAGCUUUGAAACCUCCAACUCAUUGAGCAAAUCUACCUCCUUUACCGAUGCAUCAACAAACUCGUCUUGGUACCUCAGAGAGUAGACCUUGCCGUUCAUCGUCAGAAACUGUUGCUGCGGCCCUACUGCCUCUUCUUCUUCUGAUGUUAUCGAAACCUUCUUCAUCAUCCUUCCAACUCUCGCAGCAAUUGGAAUAUUAGGGUUUUCCUCCAAAUCUUCUCUAUUGCGUUUGGUUUUCCCCCAAACCUUCCUCCCCCCAUGAUCGCUCAUCAUCCUUCCCCGCAAUUUGAAUAUUAGGCUUUUCCUCGAUACCUUCUCUAUUGCCUUUGGUCCUGUAUAUAUACCCAAUUAAUUUUUGCCUAGGUACGUACCGUCUGGGCUCUCAACUGGGCUACGAUGUGCCUCGGCUUCGUUUAAUUUGAGGCCCGGUAUUUUUAGCAAUAAAAUAAACCCAUAAACACUUCUAAGUAGAGUGGACGUUCGGAUACCCGUCCGGAUUCAGAUCGGGUAUUUCGGUAUAGAGGUAUAGAAUCUGUUCCGAUAUUUUUAUACUUUAGGUCGGGUUCGGGUAUUUUUAGUUCGGAUUCGGUUAUUUCGGAUCGGAUUCGGAUAUUGAGAUUUUAAAAGAUAAAAAAAACUAUUUUUUUUUAAUUUUUUUAGGUUUAAAAAUAUAGAUUUCACUUAACUGAUUUUUAUUAUUUUUUAAUAGAUUGAAUGAUUGAUAAAUUUGGAGAUAACAUUUCAAAAAUAAAUAAAUAUUAAUUUGACUAUUGUUUCGAAAUUUUGAGUGUAACUUUUGUCAAUACAUGAAACAAAAAAACUUGAUAUGCAUUUUAGUUGAGUGACAAAUCAUUUUCUCCGUAAUUAUAUGUAAAUUAUAUGCUCUUAAAGUAUGUAUAAGACAAAUAUAAAUAUUUUAAAUAAAAUGAUACAUGUAAACAAGAAAUAUAAGGACAAGUAUACAUAUGUUUGGUUAUUUUCGGAUAUUACCUGUUCGGGUUCAGAUAUCCAAUGAUUUAUUAAGAUUUUUGGCUUUUAAUCAAAAUGUCACUAGGAAUUAAAUGGUUGUUUUUGUAUUCUAUGAUGUUUAACAUCCUUUGUAGAGUUGAAUGAAUAUGUAAAUUUUUGUUGAUAAUGACGAAACCUAUUUCACCACAAAUCUUAUUGCAUUCUCAAUAAGCUCAUAUCAGUGGGAGCCAAAUCACAUGAGUCCAGAAAGUCAUUGAAACAAACUCAUUAAAAUAAGCAAAUCUUUUCUCUUAUUAUUGCUUUUGUCACUGCCUGUGACAGGCCAUCCUCAACCCGGCAGCAAUCUUAUCAAAUAUAAAUUUGUUAGCAGCCUGCGUGAAGUGCACACCAUCCCAUAUCACAGCCUUGUCAGGCUCAUCGCACGGCUUCCCAAUGUAAAUCUCUUUGCCUUUCACAGUCACCUUCUUCCCACAUCCAAUAUUCUUGUUGUAGUUGUACUUCCCUCCAUGACCACAACAUGCAACCAACGAUCUCUUGAACCCGUGACCCUGUGCGUGAACAAACAACUCAUGCUUAGCAGAGUAGACAUCCACGUAAGUGAUGGCGGCUUCGGACAAGGAAGCUCUAAGCUCGAUCACAGCUUGUUUCAAGGCGUCAUUGAACUGUUGAGCCAAAUGGUUCAAGGGAGAGACACAUCCAUGUGAAUCAAAAUCUGAUGCUUUAAGCGGAAACCAUUCGAUCACAUACGCUAAACAACCGAUAGGUCCUGUGCUGUGAAUCCAGAAGUAUCUCCCUCCUUGUGCGUAAAUAUACUAUCAACAAAAAUAACAAACACAUUUAUGAUAAUCACUUUUAAACAAAAAGCAUUGAUUGGAACAGAGUAUAAAACAGAGAGGCUGACCGUGACAGCAUUCUUGAACUGGCUGAUGAUCUCAGGAACAUCUACGGUUCCAAUUUGUUCAACCGUUUUAUUGGCGAAGUAACCAGCAGUGAGAUCGUUUUGUCCGAUGUCAAAAGUGUACAACGCCUGAGAGAAACUGUCGGCUUCAGGCAGCAUCGUCGUAUGAACUCCUCCUGUUACAUUUUUGACUUGGUGAUCUAGUAUACCACUUUUUCACGUUUUGAUAAUAUGAAAACGCUAUUUCUUGCCGUUCAAAACGUUUAAAAAGUUUUUGAAAUAUUAUUCCACUGUAUACUACGGUGUCCAAAAGAAAAACUUUAUUACUCUAACACUAGCUUGUUACCACAAAGCAGUUAAAAAUAACCAAUCUAAACGGGUAUGUAAUGAGAAUUUUUAGGCAUUUUGGAAUAUUUUUCUGAUAAUUUUGAGCAGUUCAGCUAUAAAACAUCUCAACCAAUCGUAACCAUUAUUAUAAAAACCGAAUCCCAAAUAAUUCAUCCAAACUCAUCUGAACCAAGGUAGAAUUAAACCGAAUCCGACCCAAUAAAAAUGAAUAUCUAAAUUAGUCUUAGGUUUUUAAUUCCAAAAUACCUCAACCCAAAUAAACUAAUCCAAAUUCGAGCAGAUAUCCGAAUAUACAUUCCUAAUUCAGUUAUUACAUUAUUAAUCUAACAUAUCAAGUCAAACACAUAUUAUCUCUUUCUUAUCUCAACGAUACAAGCAAGCAAGCAAGCAAGUGAAAGGCUCGUACCGCGACUGCGAACUGCUUGGGAUCUGUUGUGAAAAUUGGAGAACUGUACGAACUGAACAUCAAGUGAAAAUGGACUGAAACCACUUUGACGAAGAGUUGAGUUGAGAGCUCUGAUGGGAGAUCCGGCUGUGGCAAAGUUAGCGCCGUGGCUGAAGUUUGAACCAACCGAGUCUAGGAACGCGCUUAGAUAUGGCAAUCCAAGACUCUCCGCUGCGCCAAGAAAGGGAGAGACAAAAUCAGUUAAACGCUAAACGGUGGCGUUUCAAGCUUGAUAAGAGUACUGUGAUUAAUAGUUUUACCUAUGAAGUCAAUGACGAGACGACCGUCGCAGUACCUCCCGGCGGGUGAGCCGAAGAAGGAAGAGCCGUGAGGAGGACCAGCCUGGCCAAAAGCGGCGGAGAGACCGCCGGUGUCGGAGUUAGAGUCGCCGAAGUUGAAGAUUGCUGGGAAAUGGCAUUGAGCAUGGGCUGAUGAUAGUGAUAGCAAAGAGAGAGCAAACAAAGAAGAUAGUAUUGACUUCAUAUUGGUAAAGAAGAAGAAGGGAUCCUAAGAAAAGUAACGUAGUUUCAAGCAUCCAACUCAAUCACGAGACUUGAUCCUUUUAAAAAAAUAGAGAUACAAACAAAAAAGGUAUGAAAUCGAAGAAAAUUAUUUAAAAAGAAAAAAGAAAAAACGUGACCCCGAGUAAAAAAGAAAUGAAACGGGGGAAAAUUAAUAAUAAAAAGGCAAGAAGGAAAAUAAUUAUUUCUGAACUUGUCCCAUAUUGUUGAUUGAAAACACUGUAACGAGUAGGCAUGGGCAUUUUAAUAUGGAGCCGAAAAUCUAAACUAUACCUGAUGUAAAAAUAUCCGAUCCGAAAUCAAACCAAAAACACAACUGAAAGAACCAAUCCGAAUAGAUCCGGAGUCAAAAAACCGAUCCAAAUAGAUCUGACCUGGUAAUAACCUAUUUGUACUCGACUUAAAAUAUUGUAUAUCCAAAACUAUGAUUUUUUGUGUUUUAUUAUAUAUAUUAUUAUAAGAUUUAGUUGAAAUAUAUUUUGUUAAGAAUAAUUGUUAUUAUUUUAUAACAUUUUUAAGUAAUAAGAUGCUUAAAAUUGUAAAACUUAGAGUUUAAAAAUAUUUUGUUUUAAUUAUUAAUAGUUUAAUUUAAGUUUUUUUUUGUAAAACUUUAGAUAUAUAUGAUAAAUAUUGACUAAAUUUGAUGGAGAUUGAGUAUUUUAUGUUUUUUUAAGAUUCUAAAUAUCCGAACCUGAUCCGGAUCCGAUACGGAUCCAAAAAAUUACGUAUAUUUUAUAGGUAUUAUAAUUAUAGACCCAAACCGAUCUGGAUCUGAAAAGAACCGACCCAAAUCCGAAUCCGAACCGAAAAUUUACAAGUACAUAUUGGAUCCAAAUGUCUAGGACCCGAAGGAUCCACACCCGAAAGUAAUCGGCCCAAAUCCGACCCGAAGACCCGAACAUUUUUAACGAAUUGUAGGUGUUUUGCCCGCACAUGUGGGCAAAAUUAUUUUAAGUUAAUUAUUAAUAUAUGCAUUACUAAUAAAAAUUGAUCAUGAUAAGUUAUUGUUUUGGUUCUCCAAAAAAUUUAAAUCUUAAAUUUUUAUUUUUAAAGUACAUUAAAAUACAUUAUUUUUAGAAUUGUCAUUUUAUUUUCAAAAAAAUUUAAAUUUUUGGAUAGCUUUUAUUAUAGAGAAAUUGACACAAAUACCAUUCAUAGUACCACUUUUCAUUUUUAUAUCACUUUUACCUUCACUUUUAAUGAAGCGUAAAAAAUAUUUACACCUCUAGAGUUAAUUAAUCUAGAUUUAGGGUUUAGAGUUGAAGAGUGUGGUAAGAUUUUUAGAAUGUGAAAUUCAGGAUUCUAAUAAAUAUAUAAAUAAAUACUUUAAAAAUAUAUAAAAAUAAGAAUUUAAAUAAUUUUCGUUUUAAAAAGAAUUUGACAAAAAAAAUUUAUAAAAUUUUCAAAUUUGAAAAAGUAUAAUUCGAAAACAUAAAGAAUUAUUAUUAUUUUAAUAUUAUUCUUUAUUUAUUAUUAUUAUUUAUUUAAAUAAUUAUUAUUAUAUAUAUAUAACAAGGAUAUAAGAGUCUUUUGUCACUUAAUAAAGAAGUUAUUUUUUAAAAUGUCUCUUUAGUAGUAGUAAAGAUGAAUAUUAAUGAAUUAUCUGGUUGAAUAAAAAAUUUGUUUUUAUUUAUGGCUAAAUUUUAUAAUUUUAAUUUAUAAUCAAUAAUCUAAUAAAUAAAUUUUGUCAUUUAUUAAGGGUUAUAAUGACUUUAACGACUUUUAGUGUGAGAACUCGAAUGCAAAAAAUCACUUCGAAAAUAAUAGUAUAGAUGUCAUUUGUCACCAGUAUCAAUAAAAUGAUUUUUACAAACUUUAGAUAAUAGAUUAAUCCAUCUAAAUAUAACGAGUUAUAUUUUUAUUAAAUUAAUUAUUUAAUUUAUUUAAUAAUCUAUCAAAAUAUUUUCAUUCUUUCUGUAAAUGAAAAUUACACAAUUAAAUACUAAAUUUGAUAAAAAUUGUUAUGUUCUCUAUUUUCUAUAAUUUUUAUUUAAUUAUAUAUUUUAAAAUAAAUUAAAUUUUCACAUUAAUCAUAUAAUAAAAAUUAAAUUUUCGAAUAUGUUAUAUUUUAAAUUCUAAAAGUUAUAUUUUUGUAUAUGUAUAUUUUAAUCAUAUAAUAAAAAUCAGAUUUUGUGUAUUUUAUAUUUUAAAUUCUAAAAAUGAUUAUAAAUUACUAAAAUCUAUAAAAAUUCUACAUUGGCAAUUUUGUGAUCAAUGUUUAGAAAUUUUUGUUAAGAUGUGUUUGGGGUAUAAAAACAAGACUCUUGAAACCGAGUAAUUUUAUAUUUUAUGGUGAUAACAGAAUUACCUAGAGACUUGUGGACUAUUAUCAAACAACAUAACACAACCAACAUAAGUCACACACACUAAUAUUAUUCGGCAAACUUAUCACUUUAAAAAUGGGAUCAUUUUUCAAAAAAAAAAAAAAACUUCCUCCGACUAUCUAGUCUUCCCACCCGUCGUCCCACUAAUGCCUCAUGCACUCACAUCCCAUGGUCCUAUAUGGUCCCGUCAGUGUCUAUCUUCCAAGCACUAGCUCCGGCACAUGCUUUCGACAAUGGAUAGUGUAUCAAGACACAGAUUUGGUCCUAGUAUUUAUCAAGUUGCAAGGAUGGAGAUAUUUUGUUAGGGAGGUCUCUUUUUCUCUCUCGACCGCGACUCUCUAAAGCAAAACUCACCACAACUCUGUUUUCCUCCGGUAGCGGCGUCGGAGCCGUUGCCGGUGGCCUUCUCUCCCUUUUAUCUUGUUUUUUUUUUCUUGCCUCUUAAGCUCCUCAAACCUCUCUGUCCGAUAUGCUAAGACUCUAAGAGUCGAUCCACCUUCAGAUCUUCAGAUCCGGGACGCUGGUGAUGACUCUGUCAGGUGGUCGGCUUCCUCCGGAGUUGCGGUGAGGCUAAGGUGGUCAGGAUGUGGCGAGGUCGGCUUUUACGGUGGUUUGAUUCAGAUUGACGUUUUUCCCCUUUGUUCGAUCUGGAUCUAGCCGGAGCUUGCUGGCGCGUGCUUCACUGAAUCGGCUCUCCUGACACAGAUCUGUUCGGAUCUUUGUCUGUGUGGUGCGGUGGUGGCGGCUCUGUCUCCUCCGCCUUGGCGUCUUGGUGCAGGAGGAGUCCUUCUACUCCGCUCAGUUCGGACUUCGACGGUAGUUUACCUUCAAGGCGUGCGUCGGUCUCGCUUCCUCCGGCGGUGUCGUUUGAAGUAUCCGACGGUGCGUGUAAAGUAGCAAGCUUGGUGGCGCGUGGAGUUGUCUGCGCUUUGGCGUCACUUCUUGGUACUUUGCUCCGGUCUUCGCCUUUCAGUUCAUGGCCUUGUCUGGUGGUUUCUCUUCUAGGUGAAGAGUUCUUGGGUAUUGUUCUUCAUGGUUAGUGUGGCCAACGUCGCACCGUUGGCUACGGUUUUGAGUGAAGAACCUCCCUCUUGUUCUAAGAGGUGGAGUGCGUGGACAUUAGUGGUGCUUCGUGAGUUUUCGGAGUCUUCCUCUCUGUCCGUGGCGAUGCACUUGGAGUGUUGUCCUUCCCAGUAUCGGAGUCUGUCCUUGCAAGCUUCGGUAGGAUGCCUUCUUUCUUCUUACUGCAGGUACCGCUUCGACGAGACAAGGCAGCUACAGUUCAACCGGUCUUGUUAGGUGUUGAGUGCUCACGCCUUGGCGUCCAGUCCGGUUGGUUCAGCUAUGAACUCUCGGGUCUAUUCACUCAACUAUGCGCUUAAUUCAGCUGAGAUUGCGAGCGUGAGGAGAUCAUCAAGAUCCAGCUACUCUGUUGAUGGCAUAAGAUGAACCGGCAACCAAGGAAACUUGGUGAACGCUACCCUCGAAUGCUUUCUAUCAACGGUUGAGAACGGGGAUUGAUAGUCUAAGGAUAACUGAACUUUUAGCGGAUUGCGCCGGUUUAGAGGUGGUCGAGCGAAGCUAAAGAUGUUUAGUUAGGUGUAGAUUUUUGUUCAAAUCUUGUUUGUAAUCAAAGUUUGAAUUGUCCGUAUUAGGUUUUGAUGUUUAGUUUAAUUUUCGUAAUCCGCUACUAGUUGUCUUUGUAAUUUCUGUCACAAACUUGAAAACUUGGUAUAAUAUUUAACAUUUUACCAAAAAAAAAAAAAAAAAAGUUGCAAGGAUAAAAUGUUUUGGCCUCAAUCCUAUAAAAAUUGUUAACUUGAAAAGACGCUAAUAUCAAACUAUAUUAAAAAGUAAAAUAUUAAAUAAUUAUUUUUGAAAUAGAAAUUUUCUUGUAUUUUUAUUUGUAAAUUCAUUUAUCAUAUUUAUAUAACUACAACGAUAAUUCAUCCAGCCUUUUAUAUCAAAAAAGGUUUACGAUAUAUAGUUUUAUGAGGAUUUCUAGUAAUGAAAAUAAAAUUGAAAUAAUCAUUCAUAUGUAGUUCAUGUAUAAUACAUGAGAGUGCGUUAUAGUUUCCGGAUCCUUGAAUAAACUUAAUAUUCUCGUACCUAACAUCGAAUCUAGCUAUCCUUGUAUGACCAAGUCCCAUAGUAUAUAGCACCAACCAUUUCGUCUUUCAUGCAGUGGUAAGGCUGUGGAACCCGUCAAACAUCACCACACAAGACUUUGUAUUGAUCUUCGACCAAAUCGUACGCAAAACAUGCGUAUAUGUCUUUUCCGUUAGGUGUAAGAUCUUGUAAUUACGAAAUGUCUAGUGGUGGGAUUACAAACAGCGAUCGAUGAACAAUGUGUGCAGCAAACUAGACUGUUUACAGGACGAGAACUGAUGUAGUAAUUAAACAAGAUCCGAGAUCGUUAUGUCGUGUCUGCCGAUGACUGUGGUGGAGGGUUUGUCAUCUUCCACGUUUUGGUGUUCAGGAGCGGAGAAGACGAAACUCUUAAGGAAAAUCAAAGUGUUUGAACGUUAAAAAGAGCCACUGACAAGUCUUUGACCUUGUUAGGAACGUAUCGACGUAAUCUUUGCUGCGGAUAGAGCCACAGCUUCGACACUCCUUGGAAUCUUCCAUUGCAGCUGAUUGUGAAUGGUGUGCUGAUGAUCUUUAGCGUCUUGUAUACGUAGACACACCUAUUGAUCUGAGCUGUAAACAUCAAGUGUCAGUUCUUUGUUUGUCUCUUCUUGAAUGCUAAUGAUUCUGGACCUUUUGUUAGUUUGUUGGUAACGAUUGAAUUUUCUUGAACUUAGUGAUACUUUCUCGUACUCGUCGUUUGUCUGUUUAUUAACACUCUAUGGCAAAAAAGCAACAUAAUCUUCAAAAACAAUAAUAAUAAUAAUAAUAAUAUAAUAAUAAUUAGUUUCUAACAAACGCUGAUAAUCAACUCAUGAUCAAAUUGAAUGGAAGAAGCUAAUAAAACCGUGACUAGUUAUUACAAAAAAAAAAACAUUACAAGAACCUAAUAUUCUCAAUGUGACUUGUAAAAUAUAGUAUACUCAUAUGAGUUUGCUCACCGAUCCCAUGGAUACGUCUGAAAUCACCAUCCACCAUUCCUUGGAUCUCUACUUUUCUUAUACUCAUUUUGUUAAAAUCAUAAUAGCAAACAUAAAAUGGUUUAGGUGGCUUUACCCCUGGAUAGAACACCAUAAGCUCGCCUGUAUGACUCACUCCUUUGGACCUUACGUAAAACCCAAGUAAAUCUUCCCACGUAGAAGGUAAGUCACACGUCAUGCUCGACCAUUCCUGUUUCUCCGCAUCCUCAAGAACCCACAAUGUCAUCGAAUUUUCUUUGCAAUGAUAAUCUACACCGUCCAAUUUUCCCUUGUAAUUUAUAGGAGUGGAAUGGUGGUAUGUUGUCGAGAUCUGGGACUCUUGGACUUGGGGUGUUUUAAGAGAAAUUCUUAGGUUCACCCACUAGAGUGAACCUCUAGGUUCACCAACCAAUAGUGUUUGAGUAUUUGAUAUUUGAUAUCUUUUAAAAAAGGAAACAAAAUUGAAUAUCCAAAUUAGAUUAUAUUUUUAAAAUAAAAUAAUAAAAAUAGUUACAAAAAAUAAAUAAAUAAAUAUUGUUAAACCUUCAGCAAAAUACUAAAUCCUAUAUCCUAAAUCCUAAACCCUAAACCCUAAACGUUAAACCUUAAACUUUGGAUAAACUCUAAACAUUGAAAAAUCUUAAACCCUAAAUCAUACGUUAAAAACUAAAUUUUAAUAACACUAAACCCUAAAUCCUAAUCACUAAACCCUAAACCUUUGGGUAAACUAUGAACCCUUGGAUAAAUCACAAACUCUAGGGUUUAAUUUUAAAUAUUUUUGAUUUAGAGUUUAUGAUUUAUCCAAGGGUUCAGGGUUUAUCCAAGGGUUCAGGGUUUAUCCAAGGGUUUAGGGUUUAGUGAUUAGGGUUUAGAGUUUAGUGUUAUUAAGAUUUAGUUUUUAAUGUAUGAUUUAGGGUUUAAAAUUUUCCAACGGUUUAUCCCAGAUUUAAGGUUUAUAAUUUAGGGUUUAGAGUUUAAGAUUUAGAGUAUAGGAUUUAGUAUUUUGCUAUAACAAUAUUUAUUUAUUUAUUUUUUGUAACUAUUUUUAUGUAUUUUUAUUGUUUUAUUUUAAAAAUAUAAUCUUAUUUGGAAAUUCAAUUUUGUUUCCUUUUUUAAAAGAUAUCAAAUAUCAAAUACUCAAACACUAUUGGUUGGUGAACCUAGAGGUUCACCCCUAAGUUCACCCUAGGGGGUGAACCUAAGAAUUUCUCGUGUUUUAAUAAACUCAAUCUUCUCUGAUCUAACGUUGAACUUAACUAUUCUUGACUUUCCAGCUCCGUAGUAUAGCGCACCAUCAAUGCAUGUCUCUCCGUGUAUACAGAGUGAUAGUUGCCUCCGGUUGUGUUCUCGAUCUUUCUCCACUCUUGUUUCUGAGAUGAACUCACAGUGCAAACCAAAUGCUCCGGUUGCCAAUAUUUCGCUUUAGAGCGGGCCAUCACCACACACAACACCUUGUAUUGAUCGUCCACUGGAUCGUACCCAAGACGUGCGUACAUUUUUCUUCCGUUGGUUCUAACUUCAGGCAAUUUCACAAUUUGUCCAGUGGUGGGAUUAUAAACGUUGAUCGGACCUAAGAAGAAACGUUGACAGAACCAGAUUCUAGGAAGCUAUAUUAGGGAUGUGUAUAACUUCAACAAGGAUGAGGUGAGUGAGUUUGUGUCCUGCAAGCAUUUCUUUCACACAAGCUUGUCUGGAUAUAUGGUACGGGAUUAAUCACACCACAAGUCCUCUUUGUAGAUCCAUCCUUUAGUUAUGGAUCAUACUUUGUGGAGGAGACUUGGAUGUUUAUUUUUCACUAAUUAAUAAAGUUCUUUGAACUGCUCUGCCUUUGUGGUGGAAGUGGACUAGCUAUUUUAUUUCAGUUAGUAUGGUUUUAAUGGUCGAUAAAUUGAAUCUCAUAGUCCAAUGUUUCCGGAAAUUGAGCUUAAUAGGGUACUCAAAAAAAGUAGUAAUUCUAUUUAAAAUUUCACAUGAUAGUCGUUAUCUAGUACACCGGUUUUGUUACACUGCUAAUAAUAAAAGCAGGUUACAUAAUUACAUAAUACAUAGGAGACAAUCAGAUAUUACAAUAUAUAUAUCCUAGAAGUAAAUUUUCCAGGAUGAAACUAGAUGGUGGUGAUCAUGUCCACUUGCUGAAUUUCAUGUGCUCUAGUUUGAUGAAAUUCUCUGCUUCUUUGUCAAUGUCCUCAUACUUUGCCACCCUCUCACUCUUCACCUUCCUUUUAUGAUGAGAUGGAACCUUCAUCACGUUACUCAAGUCUUCGCAUUCAAUAACUUGGCUCGGCGUCUCAGCCAUAGAGACCCAGUGAAGGUGAUGGUGAUAGCGAUGGUGAUGAUGACUGUUAUGUUCAAGGAAAGUACUAAAUACCAUUUUUCUAAUAAAAGGUCUUGUUUGCUCUGUACUUGCUGUUACAUAUACAUUUGAAAUCAUCAGAGGUACUAUAUAUAUGACAUGUUAUAGGAUUGAAGUCUAAUGAUAAGGCUGAAUCCGAUACCUUUUUUUACUUUUCCCGUUAUCUCCCGUUUGGAACAAUUAAAUAGAUUAUUCCAGGUUUGGCCAAAAUUCUUGGACCUUUAAUUUUAUAGAUUACGCACUUAUCUAUUUUUGUAUAACUUUAUGGUUCAAUAUUUAACAGUAACAAAAGAUUGGUACACCGUACACGUGAUCAGCGUCAACAAGAAGGAAUACAAACAAGUUAACAUGGAAAAAUUGACGAGGUUGGCCAAUGGAAUGAAAGGAUAGUUGUUAUUAUUAGGAACGAGAAUAUAUGCUCGUGCUCAGAAAAAUAGUACACGAAAGUAACUGUUGGUUAUUCGAGGCACUAGAUGCCUGAAACAACUGAUCAAAGUGGCGUGUUUUGACCGCAACUUAGUAACGAACAUUGGAAAAAUACAUGUGUCUAACUAUGUUCAGAUUAAGGCUUAUUUUCUUUGUGGAAUGGUCUCUUCAAUCAUGCAUGUUGAUGGAAAUUGCAUCUAAUGCUUGCAAAUAUUGAAGAGUCUCUUAACACAGACCACGUAAGCUUUUGGGUGGGUCUUUGAUCCAUCCUUUUCAUUAAGACCUAAGUCAACUUGGGUAUUCCUUGUCGAGAUAUACAUAAGUUUGUAUUUUUUAUUUACAUAUGUUUUAUCACGAGUGUUAUACUCUACAUUAUCUUGUGAGACCCAAUAUAUGUUAUCAAUGUCCGUUAGCCUCAAGCGAUCGUAUCCGAAUCUAAAUAAGCAAUCCAAAAACCAAACUAUGUUUUAAUACAACAUGAAUUCACUUUACUGUAUUUUAGAAAACUGAAAACUAAAACCAAAUCGAAUUGAGGAAAAAAAAUGAUCCUAUACAAAAUUUCUGUGAAAAUUAAGAUUUAUUUCAUUAAACCCCGAAUCCAAACUGAAAACAAAAUUCAAAAGUAAUUCUCUAAAUUUUAAUUUAAUUUUACCGCUUACAAUCGUACACCAAACUUAAAUCCAGAAUGAACAUUUAUCACUUAUCAGCUACCUAUAAGAAAAAUAAUUUUCUGUGAAGAAGUUAGUCACGCCUCUAAGUUGAAUAGUUGGUACUAAUUAUGUUUUGUUAUAUUUUCUUGGAAAUAUACUUAUAUUUUUACGCUAACUGACUCAUACAAUCAACACAACUAUAUGAUACAUAUGAAUAAAAACAUAAUGCGUCAACUGAUUCAAAUCCCCAAAAACAUAACAUUGUUUUAGUUUAUUAUGUUGAUACUCCAACUGCACUCAUAAUUUCACGGUGAAUCCAAGCGAAGCAAUUGAUGAAGUUUUAUAGUUUGGAUUGUGAGCAUCCAGUGGACAUAAGAUGAUCUCAGAAUAAAUUUAUCCAGUUCUUGUGUUUAAGGUUUUCAAUUUCUAAAGAAAGAAUAUUAUGGCAAACACCUUUAUAUCACUUGCAACUGAUUGACGAUCCUCAGGUUUUUCUUUUGGGGCUAAAAUUGAGCUAAUGCCAUAUGUAUAUGCUACCUUUAAGUUACACCAUAUGACCAUUAUUUCUUAAAAAACUAAUAUUUGUGACUUUGUGCAAUCAAUUUUUCCACGUGCAUGGAACAGUAAAUUCAUAAUACUUGCAUCAUUUUUAUUUAACAUAAGCAGCAACAACAACACACCUUUUAGUAAUCAUAAGUUUCUCAAACAAGAACACUUCCUUUAUUUUUUGCUAAAAGGCCUAUGUUUAGGUUUAGUAGGAUACUGAAACAUGUUCCUCACACACACAUCUUAAUUCUUAAUUAUAGUUUCGUUAACUGGUAUUAUACAUAAUCAUUACUUUUUAUUUGAACCGGUAGAGUAGUUGGUUGCAGUUAGAGGCCCUUACUCCCCCACCCGGCCUUGUGGUGGCCGCCUCCGCUGUUUGGGUUCAUGUAGACAUGAUGUGGUAACACCUGAGGAGCCAUAAGCCUGUCCUGGUGCUUCAUCCCGUGCUCACCGUGGUGCUGCAUCCCGUGCUCACCGUGGUGCUGCAUCCCAUGCCCACCGAGGUAUGCAUCUUCAUGCCUCCCCUGCCAUCCAUUACCCAUCUUUCCCUGCCAAUCAUCGUUAAAAAAAUUACAAACGGUGAGAAAACCAUACAGAAAUCAUAAAAAUAUUUAAUUGGAUGGACAGUUGGUGCGUUUGCAUAUGACUUACCAUAUCAUAGCAAAUUCCAAAAUAUGUAAAAUCAGAAUCCAUUUAAUUUUCAGCAUACAGUUUCAGGACUUCCAAAUAUUUUAAACACCUCAACACAUGUAACCUAGUGGUGUGUAGUAUCAAGUAUGCUUAUUAUUGAAAAAUAUGGUUAAAGUCACUUUGGAAUAACAUCUAGAACAGAACAUGAUUAAUUAAGUUGUGACACCUUAAAAGAUAGCUUACACUGUGGUGAGGUCGAGACAUCGGAGGUGGGGGCAUGAAGUUCAUAUGAGGUGGUUGUUGGUGGUGGAUUUUGCCGUGGUGCGGUAACACUGUAGUGUGGUGGCUUCGG
rnacentral:lncRNA from 1 species